UAAUGAACACCUAACGUGAUUUAUCUAGAAUACCACAAUUUUCAAUCAUCUUUUUUGAUUCACACCUUCGAACCAAACCAAUAAAUUAUCUGCCCCUGACUUUAAAAAUGUAAUGAACACCUAACGUGAUUUAUCUAGAAUACCACAAUUUUCAAUCAUCUUUUUUGAUUCACACCUUCGAACCAAACCAAUAAAUUAUCUGCCCCUGACAUCUUUGCUUGUUCGAAGAGAAAUCAAACUAGAAAGUUAGAGAACUAAAGAAAGAAAGAGGUAUAGAAGGAGAAUGAAAAAUUGGGAUGAAGUCUUGCUCAUUAAUGAAGAUUAGAGAGGAAGAGACUAAUUAGGACAAGCUUUGAAGAAGAAAGAGGCACUUAAGAAACUAGGAUUUUCUCAUAGCAAUUGAAAUUGGAAUCAAGAUUUAAGUGUCAAAUUUCUUCUAAAGGUAACAUAGGACCCAACUUCAAACCUCUCUAGGGUAUGUUCAAGAUUUGAAUUUGAUUUUGAAAAUGUAAAAAUAAUUUUCUAUUUCCAUUCAUACAUAUCAAUUUUCAAGUCUUGCAUGCAAUGUGUUUGUGGAAUGUCCUAUAUCAAAGUUUAAUUCAUGAUAUGCAUGUUGUGAUGAUUUUGAGACGUCAGUUGUAUAUUUUGUUGAUUUAAAUUUGAGUGUUGAACUUUGGAUAUGCAAAGCAUAUGACUUUUCCUUAAUUUAAAUUAUUGC
rnacentral:lncRNA from 1 species